rnacentral:rRNA from 1 species
GUGACUAUGCGACGCCGCGUGCAGGAUGAAGGCCUUCGGGUCGUAAACUGCUGUCAGGGGGGAAGAAACCUUACGUAUAAAUAAUGCGUAAGCUGACAUCACCCCCAAAGGAAGCCACGGCUAACUCUGUGCCAGCAGCCGCGGUAAGACGAAGGUGGCGAGCGUUGUUCGGAAUCACUGGGCAUAAAGCGCACGUAGGUGGCGGCGUAAGUCGGGUGUGAAAUCCCUCGGCCUAACCGAGGAACUGCGCCCGAUACUGCGUCGCUUGAGGGUCAAAGGGGUGCAUGGAAUUCCCGGUGGAGCGGUGAAAUGCGUUGAUAUCGGGAGGAACGCCGGCGGCGAAAGCGGUGCACUGGUUGACUUCUGACACUCAUGUGCGAAAGCCAGGGGAGCAAACGGGAUUAGAUACCCCGGUAGUCCUGGCCGUAAACGAU